UGAGCAAUCUGCCCUUCUCAUCGGAAUAAGCGUUGGAAACGACGUCUAAUGCCGAAUACGACCUCCUUUCGCAUGAUCGGGGGUGGAAAGCUCCGGCGGAGAAGGAUGAGCUCGCGGCCUAUCAGCUAGUUGGUGUGGGUAAUGGCCCACCAAGGCGACGACGGGUAGCCGGCCUGAGAGGGUGACCGGCCACACUGGGACUGAGACACGGCCCAGACUCCGUACGGGAGGNAGCG
rnacentral:rRNA from 1 species